rnacentral:rRNA from 1 species
CCACCCUUGUAGUACUGGGACUCUAACCAUAGGCCAUGAAUCUGGUCUUGGGACACUGUCAGGUGGGCAGUUUGACUGGGGCGGUCGCCUCCCAAAAGGUAACGGAGGCGCUCAAAGGUUCUCUCAGUACGGUCGGAAAUCGUACGUAGAGUGUAAAGGCAAAAGAGAGCUUGAUUGCAAGACAUACAGGUCGAGCAAGGAUGAAAAUCGGACUUAGUGAUCCGGUGGUUCUGCGUGGAAGGGCCAUCGCUCAACGGAUAAAAGCUACCCUGGGGAUAACAGGCUUAUCUCCCCCAAGAGUCCACAUCGACGGGGAGGUUUGGCACCUCGAUGUCGGCUCAUCACAUCCUGGGGCUGUAGUAGGUCCCAAGGGUUGGGCUGUUCGCCCAUUAAAGUGGUACGCGAGCUGGGUUCAGAACGUCGUGAGACAGUUCGGUCCCUAUCCGUCGCAGGCGUAGGAAAUUUGAGAAGACCUGUCCUUAGUACGAGAGGACCGGGAUGGACG